AAGAAAGCCAAUACCUAAAGCAGGUGAUGGGGGAAAAAGCAAGGAGAGUACAAUUGAAAAGUGCAUUUCACAUAGAAAAGAAGCAGAAACUCUGCUUGUUUAUCACCACUUUGGAAAUAAACCUAAAAGCACAAGAACAAAACUAUCACUCAGCAUUUGGUUCAGCAGUAAGUGCUCUGGAAGGACAGGAGAUGGUCUCAUUGCAAAGCAGCAAAAGUAUGGAACAGGAUUUAGAAGAUGUAGAGCAUGGAAGUACAAGGGAGUCUGAAGGGGCAGUAAACAGUGUUGAAAUGGAGACCUUGAAUCUCAGAAUAAAACAGCUGGAAAAGUCAGAGCAAAAACUGAAAGACAUUUUAGAGGACUACACAAAGUCAAAUUCUGUACUAGGAGACAGAGCAAAGGAGCUGGAACGGUCACAGAAGAAACUUUUUGAAACAGUUGACCAAUUGAAUGCAAAGCUACAGCAGGUAGAAAAUGCAAACCUACGUGUUAAAGGGAAGCUCCGAAACCUUCAGGUGGAACUGACAGAUUUGGUUCAAAAACAAGAAAAGGCAGAAAGAAAACAAAAAGAAAAGCUAUGGCGACUUCAGGGCCAGUUGAAGACAAAAGAGGAUGAAGUAAAGAGUCAGUCAGCAUAUUUUGAGCACUACAAACAAAAGCAGAAGCAGAAGACAGCAGUGUUGAGAGAACAGGAGUUGUCCCUUCGGGGUCAUGUGUCCAGGCUGGAAAAGGAAGUCCUAGAUCUCAAUGCCACUACAGCUUUUCUGUUCUCUGAGCUAGGAGAGGGAACUGUACAAUAUCUCCGAUGCAAACUGGAAGCAGUAUUCAGUGGAAUUCAGGGAUCUUUGCACUUUAAUAUGAAUAUAACUAAAAUAAAAACUCUCAUUGAAGAUGUGGAUCAUUACAUGAAAAGCCACGUAUGGACACUGCAGCAAAAUCUGAAGAGGUUACAGGAAAAAGAAGAAGGUAAUAUUAGAGAACAAGCAGACCUACUAACUAAACUUCAGCACACCCAGGCCAACGAAGACUUCCUGACCAGGAAAUUUGAGGAAUCUUGCUGUCGUGUUUAUGAGCUGAAAUUGUCUGAGAUUGGCCUUCAGGAGCAAGUGGAGGAACUUAUAGAAGAAAACAGCACUUUAAAGGACAAACUGGGAGCAAAGUUACCAAAAGAAGCAGAAAAGGAGCUAUUGCCUGCAGGAAUGGAAAAUGGAGAAAAUAAAGCUGUAAGUGGUUACUGGGGUGAGCAGCUAAAUCUGAAGAAGGAGGCAGUCUUGGAUCCAGUCAGAAACAAAGCUCGUCAAACUCCAUCUUUUCUACAACAUACCAAACAGUCUCAUACAACAGCAAAGAUAGCAUCAGAAUGUGGCUAUGGCUGGCUUAAUAAUGUGGAAGGGUUGCCAAAGGAACUUCUCAUACCAUUUUUAGGGCACAGCUCCAGUGCCUUGGUGGAAAUUGCUGAAGAACCCAGGCUAGCUGACGCUGAACAGGUCAUACUUGGGGCACAAAGAUCAGCUGGUGCUUCUCUGUUGUUUGGAUGUCCUCCAAGACAGCUUAAAAACAGACAGCUAAUCUUAUCUUGCUCUGAGAGGCUAAGCAAUGAUGGGAGAAGUAAGCGGACCAAAGAAAAAGAAUAUUUCUUUCUCUUAAAGGAACAAUCUAUAAAUCGACCAGCUAAUCCUUCGCCUGUCUUCAUGGUUGCCACUUUGAUUGAGCCUCAGUUUGUCUUGCUAGAACCUGAAAUCCACCGAGUCCUAUGUGUCAGAUCAGAAUCUGUUUUCCCAGUGAACAAAAUACUGAAUUUGAAUUACAACCAGACAUAUCACAAUAACUUUUGUCUUUCUAAUGGUGUCUUGCAUGUUGUGAAAGGAGUUUCUUCUGGUAAAGAUUCUGAAGUUCUAAACGAAAAGGUUGCAAACACUGAGACUGAAAUUUUCAAACUCCAGGUUGAAAAAGAUUAUAUGGAAAAAUGUUUGCAAAAUAAAAAAGCUAUGCAGAAAAGCACAGAUGAAAAGAAAAACUCAAAUAAAGAAAUAAAUGAUGGAAAAAAUCAAAGUAGAAAUUGUCCAGAGAAAUCUCAGCGAGAAGAAAAAAGGGAUGAGAAAGCACAAAUCAGAACAAUAACUUGCAUUUCUGAAAAAGCCAACAAAGCUGCACAUGAUGAAACUGUGGAGCAAAAAGCAGAACCAACAUUUCAUACAGCAAGGAUUCCAGGUGACCAAAACAUGUCUGUCCUAAACAAGGAAUUAGAAGGAUAUCCCCAAGAGAACUCUGAACUUAAGAAUGAACAUGGAAAACAUUUAGCAAUCUGUACCUUUGAUGAAGUGAACAGAAGAUGCCUAGAAAAUAACAUUUUUGUGACAGAAGAGAAGGGUAAACAACCUGAGAAUCUAACUGACCAAAUAAAAGUGUGUCUACAAAAAACGGAACUGAAAGAAAAGAGAGAGCAAUGUUUGAAACUGUAUGAACAAGAAGAUGAGGAUAAGUCAUCAUGCAAACAAAUGACUCAUCAGAUAGAGGAAUAUAGUAAAUGCUCUCAAAAACUGUCUUCACUGAAGGAAGAUAAGUAUAUGUAUCCACUGAAUAUAUUGUCUCCUGCACAAGAGAGAAAUUUAUACUUAAAUAAAGGGUUAGCACUAGAGGAAGAAUAUUCUGAACAUGGUCAUUAUCCAUCAGCAGCAAAACAAGAAAACAAUGGAUAUAUCCUGGAAAUAGAUACGUUAGAGAAGUUAGUGGAUAUAUAUUCUCAAAAAAUAUCUGCACUGAUGAAAGAGAAUGGGAGUUACUCACAGAAACUCCUCAUGUUACAGGAAGAGAAUGAUAGAUAUUAUCAGAAGAUGUGUGCACUAGAAGAGGAGAUAGAUGCAUAUUCUCGAAACAUAUUAACAGUACAUGAAAUUGAUGUUGACUCUUCCCAAAAGUUAUUAGCCAAGGAGGAAAUAUAUGGUAACUGUUAUAACAGUGUUUCAAAAGAGAAGAACUUUAGGUGCCCAGGAGCAAUUUGUGUUCUCUUGGGUGAAACUGAAAUACUUUCCAAGAACGUCUCUCACCUGGUUAAAGAGGGAGAUAGAAAUUCUGAAAAAGAAAUACCAGUGAUGGAAUCAAAUAAAUUUCUCAAGAAAAUUGUAGCUCUUGAUGAAAAGAAGAUUAAAUAUUUCCAGCUGCUUUCUGGUCUCAAAGAGGAGAGAAAUAGCUUUUUCAGAGAAAUAGCUAAACUCUUACAAGACAAAGAAAAAUAUAUAAAGAAAACUCAUGAACUGGAAGAAGAGAGAGAGAGAAAUUUACAGAUAAUAUCUCGACUAGAAGGAGACAAAGAAACUUUAUUGGGAAGUUUGAGUGAGCUGAAAUGUGAACAAGAUAAAUACAUGACAAUGAUUUCUGAAUUGAAUGAGUGCAAAACCAAAUGCUACCAAACAAUUUCUGAUCUACAAGAGGAAAAACAUAUACUGAAAAAUGAUAUGGAUGGAGUCCACAGGGAAAGUUCUGAACAGCUUCUAGAAUCUCAGAAAGUAAUUGAGAACAUUCUUCAAGAAAACAAUGAAUUGAAGGAAAUAAUGUCUGCUCUUGGAAUCAGCUAUGAAGAGCUGAUAAAAGAUAAAAUUUCUGGAAUGGAAGAAAAGUUGCUAAGAUUGAAGCAAGAAAAUAAGAGUCUACCACAUAGAAUGCAAGCAAAGGAAACAGAGAUGGCUUCUGGUAAAAUACAGACUAAAGAAAAAGGAAUUCAAGUUAUAGAACACUCAAACUGUCUCACUAGAAAAGAUAAAGAAAUCUGUUUGGAAGAGGAUAUUUGUAGCAUUAAACGAUAUUGUCAAGUGGGAUGUUCUAAAAACACUGAGACUUCUAAGUGCCAUUUUAGUAAGGUUGGGAUAAGUGCAUUUUUGCGUGAUCAAAACAUUAUGAUCUCCAGGGUUCUGCAAAAGACUUCUGAGAGACCGGAGGUGGCAAAGUUAGCCUUUGAAACAGAAGACAAAAUAUCAAGCAACAGUUUUUCUGAAUGUUGUGUUAAAGUGCUGGAGAAUAUGGAGCAAGAGUCUGCAAAGGGGAGCACAUUUGAAAGCUACAGCGCAAUGCAAGAACAACUGGAAAGGUCAAAGGAAGAACUAAAAAUACAACAAAUGGAAUUAGAAAAGGCCAAAAAAGAGGCUCAGAAGUGGUACCGAGAACUUGGCUUUGUAGAAGCAAGAUAUGAAGAGGUCAGAACUCAGUUGACACAGACACUCUCUGAAUUACAUCAACUUAAACUGGCAGAUGGCGGGGAAAGGCUUAGAAAGCAGUGCUGCCAAUUAAUGAAGGAAGCUGAAGAACUGAAAGCGGAUAGGCUAGCCAAUAAGAGAUUAGAACAGCAAGUGCUGACCCUGAAAUACCAACUAAGAGACCAGACUGUAUUACAAAGUCAGUUUCAAGACUUGCAAAACCAAGUGGAACGCCUUCAGGCUCAGCUGUGUGAAAAGACUGAGGAACUUCAGAAAAGAAAGACUGAAACUGACCUGACAGUAGCUCCGCUUAAGGCUAAGCUGGCUUGCCUUGUCCGGAAAUGCCACGAAAGAAACUGCUUGAUUACCCAGCUGGUCAGGGAAUUUCGCAGGCAUGGAAUUAUGGAUUCCAUUUUCAAUGAAGAGGCAAGGAAUUUGGUGAAUGACACGGCGCUCGCAGAGUACACUACCACCUUUCCAUUUGUAUGCAAUCGAGAGAGACGAUCCCAGCAAUUUGUAAUUCCUGAGAAGACAGCACACAGACAAGCAUCACAGACUGUUAUGCCUACUGGGGAAGACAGUGAUUUGCAUCUGAGUGGGUCAUUGCAUUCUAGAACCUGCACCGCUACUGCUGACUUUCAUCUUCCACCAGAGAUGCCUCAAACUGUGCUUCCUGUAUUACUGCAUCCUGUUGUAGACACUUCACAGGUCAAUGGACUGCCAAAUAAUCAUGGGACCUACCAGGCUGAAGCGAAUGAGAAGGCAAGGCCAAUUCCUGCAAGCUUUCUACAGAAGUCAGAUGACAUCUGCUGUGCUCACACAACUCAAAACAAGUGCACUACUUCUCCUUUAAAAUUAACAUGCCCAGAGAGGAUCAUAGCCUUGCAUCGAGAGCUUAGACAAAACCAUCACAGUAAUUACCAGAUCCCUUCAUUUGCCUCUUCCAAUUCAAAACUGAAGGCGGAUUGCAAUUUGUCCUCAGUCUGUCAUCCAGCCCAAGAUGUGACAUCCCAGCCUGUAGUGUCAAAAAUGAACAAUUCACUGAAACUUUCAGACAGGAGCUCUUUCCAUCUCAUAAAUGGGAGGUACCAGUUGUCUAAAUUUGAUGACAUAUUCCACAGUCAUCCAGGAAAUCAGCAUGCAGGCGCUGUUCUCCAGGAAAGGAGAAAGAAAAAUGUCAUUAUGAAUAACACAUGCAUCUUGGGAGAAAAACCAGAUGGUUCAACCUCAGCUACCACAGCAAAAAGCUAUUUGUCAGAUGUGUUGUCAGCAAGUAAUAAAGGUCAAAAUCCUACUGGAGAGAAAUCAGCUUCACUGGAAAGAGUAAAAGCCUCAGAAAUAAAACAAGGACCUCCUGCUCCAGUUGGUUCAGUCUAUAUUAUUAAAGCAGUGGGAAAUAGCAGCAUGAUGAUUGGCUGGGAGAGACCCGUAGUAGCUGAAUUAGGAUGUAGCAAUGGAACUUUCAUUACAGGAUACAGGAUAUAUACAGAUGGGGAAUUUCACAAAUAUGUUAUGAGUUCAGCCUGCACUAAGACUAUUUUAGAAAAUCUGGACCUUUCUGUGCCAUUUCAAAUCAGCGUUCAGACUGUUGGUUCUUCUGGUUUGGUUUCUGAGAAGAUGAAUGUUCAAUAUAGUUGUCCUUUAAUGAAAAAGGAAGCUUCAUCAUUUGCCUCUAGUGAUUUCCCUGAAGACGAAAAGCCUGAUGCCAGCUCCCAUGAGGUGAAUGGAAGGCAAGGUUUAGCUCCAUUGUCUUCCUUGAAGAAAUUAAUUUUGGAUGACCAAAGAAACUAAAGAAAAUACAGUGAAGGUACAGCACCCAAGAAACAAGAAAACAGCGAAAGUAAGGUCAGAAAAGCAGCUGAAUGCCAAGUCAUUGCUUCAAGUUUGUCAGUCUCAGCUUAGGAGCUGGAUAAAUGAAACUGCCAAGGAAUCCAACUCUUAGCUAAUUUUGGCAGGGAAGAAUGAAUCAAACAUGUAAAGAAAAAGCAAUGAAGUGCUGAAGGUAUCACAAAGGGUGUAUCUAGCCUGACAGCUUCCACAGCUGCUUCACUAAGGAAAAAGCUGAGCAGCAACAAUGACUUACUGACCCUCAUCCUUCACUGGAAGUUGGUGAUGCAAACCAGUCAAAUAUAGAUGUUUUACAGAAUCUUAAUAUUUUAAUGCAUUUUUAGGAAAUUCUCAUGUUUUGCUCUAAUCCCAACCAUUGCAUGCCUAUAUAUGUGGUUAUAGGGAGCUUGCAUAUAUGAGGGUCACCGGGGACCUCAAUCCUACUGGCUUUUAUGGGAGUUCAGGGUGCAUAGCACCUCUCAGGAUACCGCAGUAGAUGGACUCAUUUUUCAAGGUGCCGAUUGCCUUCAACAUCCACUGGAGUAAGUGUCAUAUUCAUCCCAGAUCUAAAGGCACUCAGAAGUGGGAAGGAUUGUGCCCUAUGGCCUUAUUUCAGUAAAGCACACGAGCACAUACUUACCUUCAACCCUGUGAGUAAUCCCUUUGAACUUUAGUUGGAUUACUCCCCUGCUUAUGUGCUUUGCUGAAUCAGAUCCUGUGUAUGUGCACCCACAAACUGGUAACAGUGCAUGCAGAACACACACUGAUGAGUCCAGAAUGGGUAAGCACAUACUAUUGUAUCUGUCUGCACAUGCAGAUAUGUUGGAUUUACUUGCACACAUGAAACUGGAGUGUAAGGGUACAUAUGAGUGUUUACAGGCCUACUUCAAUAGCUUAUGCAUGCUCCUGUUGAAGUCAAUAGCAAAACUCCCAUUGACUUGAAUGGGAGCAAAACUGGGUACUAAUUUACAUAACUUCCCCCUUGUUGUGUAAUGCACUGUCAGUUUUGUUAACUAUUUUGCACUCUUUCAUUUAUAUUAUUUUAAUUGCGCUAACCUUUAGAAUGUGCUGAGCUCUACAGAGGUUAGUCUCCCAGUAUUUUCAGAAAUUCUUUGAAGGGAGGUACAUGGCUAAUAAAAUAAGGAAAUCCAUCUCAGAUUAAUUUCAUGUGCAUUUUUAGAUUAUGGUUAGCAAUAGAUGACAAGUUGGCAUGGCAACAUUUGCAGCUUAACCACUAAUAAGUGCUCUUAAAAUAAAUCUGUGUCAUAUGUGGGUUUCUUGCCAUGAGCAUACUGUACCACCUGAAAAGAAGCAACACAUAUAUCAUUUGCAAAACACGCAUACAAUUAGACCCUAGUUCUUAUUUUUGAAUGAAGUGUUAAACUAAGACAUCAUGCAUGUUUCCUGGCAUUUAUGAACAAUUUCCCACUAUGAAAUAUAAAUGUUGAUAAUGAACUUGUCCAUUUUUUAGUGUCUCAGGCCUUCAGCCGUUCACUC